rnacentral:misc_RNA from 1 species
GAUGAAGAACGUAGCGAAAUGCGAUACGUAGUGUGAAUUGCAGAAUUCAGUGAAUCAUCGAAUCUUUGAACGCACAUUGCACCUCUCGGUAUUCCGGGAGGUAUGCCUGUUCGAGCGUCAUUAAGUCCACUUAAGCCCUGCUUAGUGUUGGGAGACUGCUCCAGCGGUGCUACCCUGUAGCUACCCUGCAGCUCCUCAAAGACAGCGGCGGAGUUGUGGUAUCCUCUGAGCUUAGUAACUUGUUCUAGCUUUCGAGUACACCACUUCCCCUGCCGUAAAACCCUUAAUUUUUAAUGGUUGACCUCGGAUCAGGUAGGAAUACCCGCUGAACUUAAGCAUAUCAAUAAGCGGAGGA